CACCAUUGUGUAGGGUAGGCUAAGACCAGGAGUUAUAUUACGAUUUGCUCAAUGUGCUGAGAUCACCCCAUCAUCAUUGUAAAGUCUUAUUGAUACAAGACGCUUCCUACUUAGGUUUUUCGGGAAACAAAUAAGGCUUACUUGAUUUCUAAAAUUAUAAAGGCCCACUUGUGCAACCCCUAAAUAUACUGAACUGAGGCCUGACAAUAUAAAUGAGACCAUUCCUUGUGGCAAGUCAACAAAAACAAGUAAAUAGUGGGUGAAAGUAGGUAGAUAGUAGGUAAAACUGUUUAGAAAAUGUGUGUCCUGCAACGGCAGUGUACUGUAUAUUUGCAUAUAUAUGUUAGAUCUUGGGUAGGCUACAUUCUUAUUUUGCAUGAUAUGAGAUGUGCUGUUAUGAGACAAUAGUUUGUACUUUGGUCUUUCUAGAAAACUGGAUGAACUCUGUGGUUGUUGGUUUGGGAGUGGCAUUAGGCGUGUGUGUUGCUGUGAUGACCCUUCUUAUUGCUUCACAUUUAAAGAGAUCUGUGUGUGAUCACUGCAAAGAGACAACUCCUAAUCAACUGCACUGUAACAACCCUGUGCUAGAGGCACCUCAGGGAAGUGAUGCUGAGAUGAUGACCUACUCUUCUCUGCAUUUUUCUACAAAGA